rnacentral:tRNA from 1 species
GGGUAGGAGGCAGAUACGGUUAGCUGCGGCGGUCUGUAAAACCGUUGGGGAAACCCAUGUGAGUUCAAAUCUCACCCUACUCA